rnacentral:rRNA from 1 species
GACGAACGCUGGCGGCGCGCUUAACACAUGCAAGUCGUGCGGUGUCGAAGGCAAGUCUUACGACAAGCCUUCGACACAGCGGCGAACGGGUGAGUAACACGUGAGUAGCUGUCCUAAGGAGGGGGAUAACGCCUGGAAACGGGUGCUAACACCCCAUAUGCCUCGCAAGAGGUCGAAAGUGUACUUGCUACAGCCUUAGGGGUGUGCUCGCGGCCUAUCAGCUAGUUGGUGAGGUAACGGCUCACCAAGGCCAAGACGGGUAGCCGGCCUGAGAGGGUGUACGGCCACACUGGAAUUGAGAUACGGUCCAGACUCCUACGGGAGGCAGCAGUGGGGAAUCUUGGGCAAUGGGCGAAAAGCCUGACCCAGCGACGCCGCGUUGGGGAUGAAGCCCUUCGGGGCGUAAACCCAUGUUGUAGGGGACGAAGAAAGUGACGGUACCCUACGAGAAAAGCCCCGGCCAAACUACGUGCCAGCAAGCCGCGGUAAAAACGUACUACCUAAU